GACGAACGCUGGCGGCGUGCCUAAUACAUGCAAGUCGAACGCUUCUUUUUCCACCGGAGCUUGCUCCACCGGAAAAAGAGGAGUGGCGAACGGGUGAGUAACACGUGGGUAACCUGCCCAUCAGAAGGGGAUAACACUUGGAAACAGGUGCUAAUACCGUAUAACAAUCGAAACCGCAUGGUUUCGAUUUGAAAGGCGCUUUCGGGUGUCGCUGAUGGAUGGACCCGCGGUGCAUUAGCUAGUUGGUAAGGUAACGGCUUACCAAGGCGACGAUGCAUAGCCGAGUUGAGAGACUGAUCGGCCACAUUGGGACUGAGACACGGCCCAA
rnacentral:rRNA from 1 species